UAAGUUAAGACAUCAUGAGCAAUCGACCAAAAUUGGCUUCGCAAUCAACUUGUUUGCCACUCCUGAUAUAUAGGAUAUUCUCCUAUAUAUCAGGAGCAGAAUUCACCCCAUUUAUUAUAAGAGACAAUCAGUUAUUCUCUUUUUUCCCACUAGUGGCCUGCCAUGCCAUGCCUCUUCUGGCAGGAAUCUUUCCUCAAGCUUCUUGUUUAAUUCCGUAUUUUUCAGAGAAUUAAAUCAGAGUAGGCCCUUAAUUGCCUUUGUUAAAGAUGACCAUGGUGAGCAUAUCAUUAUUUAUACCUUUAACAAAAGCAGAACAAAAUACAGCAG
rnacentral:lncRNA from 1 species